AACAUCUCUCUUCAUUGUGACACAUGGAACACAGUGUGUUCUGUGAAGUAACAGGCUUUGAACAGAUCUCCUUGUUCAGUCUAUGGACAUGGGUUAACACACAUUUGCAGGGCUCUUCCUGGGCUUUUCACACAGGUGAUAGUUUUUUUUUGCAUUAAUUAUAGCUAAUAGAAGUAAAGAAGGCUGUAGGGUCCUGGUUCAUAUCAAUGAUAUCAUUAAUAGGGUAGUAGAGGACUCUGGUACUCACUGAGUUGAUGUUACAGGCUGCCAGAAGAGGAACUAUUCUCUAUCUGAGACACAGCCUCUGCUAUGAUCAAUAUAUGCGGCAAACUGACCUCGGCUCCCCCCUCACUGGAGUGUCCUGAGUCCACCAGUCUACCAGCGAAGGUAGUACAGUCAAAGGUGAUACAGUCGGGGCAUCUCCUGGCUGUUCCACCUGGGCCUCAGGUGGAACAGCUCCCUUCCCCUCUAUGAUUCCCUGGAUUAUGCCACUGAUUUGGAGCUGUCUAACUUCUUUCCUUCUUUGGCUGUCUACCAACGUCACCUUUGCUGCUACUGAAUGAGUAUGUGCUUUGGGAAAUCAUAUAACUACAUCCAACGUUAUUUCCAAAAGGCACAGAUCUUCAUGCAGCAACUCUAGCUCCAGAGCCAUCUGUCCAUCUGACAAGCGCCCUUGAGUGUAUACUUCAUCGCCGGAGGGCAGCGAUGGAGGUCCUGCUGCAACACUCAGAGCUCCGGUCGCUCGGGCUGGUCUCCACUCUCUGCCUGGCCUUGGUCUCUCUGGCCAGGGGGCUGCACCACUGGAUCUGCCAAGCAUGAUCGACGCUGAUGCUAAUCCAUGUUCUAAUGGGAACGGGAACAAAUGACAUCAUGGCUAGAAAUUUCAGCAAAUUACAUGCAGACCUUGAGUGCCUGUGCUACACAAUUCUGCUGAAUUCUGGGAGUCUGGGAAGACGUCUUAUGUCUUGCCCUAUCCUGACUCUUUUCAAAAACUCUAAAUGUUUCAGUUGACUCUUCAGCAUCCACCACUGGUUAAAAACUUCUGUUCUGCUGCAGGAUAUGACUUCAUCUCAAACUCUGACUGCUUUGGGACUAAUUCAAGCCUGUACAGAUCAGAUUGUCUGCACCCUAAUAGAAAAGGAACAAAGCAGUUGACUGCUAAUUUUAUCCAGUUUAUAGCUUCUCUUUAUAGCUAACUCGAUCUGACAUGCACCACAGCAUGUCUCCCACUAUUAAAUCCAGCCUUAACAAUGU